rnacentral:rRNA from 1 species
CAAUAGCGUAUAUUAAAGUUGUUGCAGUUAGAACGCUCGUAGUCGGAUUUCGGGGCAGUCCGACCGGUCUGCCGAUGGGUAUGCACUGGCCGGAGUGUCCUUUUUGCCGGAGACCGUGCCUACUCUUAACUGAGCGGGGGCGGGAGACGGCACUUUUACUUUGAAAAAUCAGAGUGUUUCAAGCAGGCAGCUCGCUCUUGCAUGGAUUAGCAUGGGAUAAUGAAAUAGGACUUUGGUGCUAUUUUGUUGGUUUCGAACACCGAAGUAAUGAUGAGAAGGGACAGUCAGGGGCACUCGUAUUCCGCAGAGAGAGGUGAAAUUCUCAGACCCGCGGAAGACGAACCACUGCGAAAGCAUUUGCCAGGGAUGUUUUCACUGAUCAAGAACGAAAGUUAGGGGAUCGAAGACGAUUAGAUACCAU